rfam:Myotis davidii contig51409, whole genome shotgun sequence.
GUCUCGGUAGCUCACUUGGUUAGAGCAUUGUCCUGAAAUGCCAAGGUUUUGGGUUCGAUGCCCGGUCAGGGCA